rnacentral:lncRNA from 1 species
GUUAACAAUUUAGUUACUGCAUAUAGCAAACAGCAGUUAAAAAUACUUCAGGUAUGUAAUUUCUUCUUUCAGCUUUACAUAGUUUUCCUAACACAUGACUGUUGAAAGAGAUUUUUAUGAGUGGUUUUUUUUUUUCCAGUUGCUUUGCUGUACGACUUCACCUUUGAAUUCUUCAAGCUGACAGAAGCUUCGGUAGCUCAGUGUAACAGAAGCUCCUGCUGUUAGUCCCACUACAGCAUCUUAAUUGCAAACCAGAGAUGAUAGCUCAUGUUCAAAGAGCACAGACAGAGGUAGGACUAGUGAUCUACCUGAGCUCUGUUACAGUGUGAAGUCUGGGAAUGCUGCAGGCUAACAGAGAGAGAACAAAAAUUUAAAAUGGUGUAUCAAGAGUGCUCCCCAAACCAAGGGAGGGGCGUACAGCUUCCUCAACUGUGAAAACUGUACACUCUAUCUAUCCUCAGGCACAGCACCACAGCAAGAUGUGCCCAUGUGUGAAAGUUCCUGAUGUUCCUGAAGUCACUGGUGGGUUUUUCUCCUUCCUUUUCUGUGGGUAGGGGAAUAAGUGUGUAAGAUGCCUCCUACACCUAGUAGAUGACAAUGAAAACCCAUGCUUUAAAAACAUAAACACAUAAGUUAUCGUGUUAAAGGUGACACAGUCUAAGAAAUGUACCUUGCAGCUACAGCAGCAAGGGGUGAAGAAUGAAGAUGGAGGAUGGCAAUAUGUGUUCCUAGAGCAGCUUGUUAGAUCUCAGAAGGAGGAGCAAGGGAAGCUCUGCCUGCCACACAGAUAUGAACUGCACCUUACUGAUAAUGGUGAACCUUGAGCCUGUGCUGUCCAACCAGCUCACCCUGAAACUGCAAAGAGAAAUGGGAAGGAGGUAGAGACAGAUUUGGGUCUUCAUGGAGACAGAUUAGAGUCCUGUGAGUCUUCACAGGUGAGUCCUCCUGCAGCAAGGAUGGUCCCUGUUAAGCACUGAGGUUUUUUAUUUUUCUACUUUACUUUGGUAAAUAGGUCCCCAUGCCCUGCUGCUUCCCUCAGGCAAAUGGUGCCAUGCAUUGGUCAGCAGAAUUGAA